rnacentral:rRNA from 1 species
UACAGAGGUCUCGAGCGUUAGGCGGAAUCACUGGGCUUAAAGCGUGUGUAGGCGGAUUGCUAAGUACCUUGUGAAAUCCCACGGCUUAACCGUGGAACUGCUUGGUAUACUGGCUGUCUUGAGCCACUUAGGGGCAACCGGAACAAACGGUGGAGCGGUGAAAUGCGUAGAUAUCGUUUGGAACGCCAAAGGUGAAAACAGGUCGCUGGGGAUGAGCUGACGCUGAGACACGAAAGCCAGGGGAGCAAACGGG